ensembl:lncRNA
GUGGUGGUGUGUGGUGGUGGUGUGUGUGGUGGUAGUGUGUGGUGGUAGUGUGUGGUGGUGGUGUGUGUGGUGUGUGGUGGUGUGUGUGGUGGUAGUGUGUGUGGUGGUAGUGUGUGGUGGUAGUGUGUGUGGUGGUAGUGUGUGUGGUAGUGUGUGUGGUGGUAGUGUGUGGUGGGUGUGUGUGUGGUGGUAAUGUGUGGUGGUAGUGUGUGUGGUGGUAGUGUGGUGUGUGUGGUGGUAGUGUGUGGUGGUAGUGUGUGUGGUGGUAAUGUGUGGUAGUGUGUGUGGUGGUGUUGUGUAGUGGUAGUGUGUGUGGUGGUAGUGUGUGGUGGUGGUAGUGUGUGUGGUGGUAAUGUGUGGUGGUAGUGUGUGGUGGUAGUGUGUGGUGUGGUGGUAGUGUGUGUGGUGGUAAUGUGUGGUGGUAGUGUGUGGUGGUAGUGUGUGUGGUGGUAGUGUGUGUGUAGUGUGUGUGGUGGUAAUGUGUGGUGGUAGUGUGUGUGGUGGUAGUGUGUGGUGGUAGUGUGUGUGGUGUAAUGUGUGGUGGUAGUGUGUGUGGUGGUAGUGUGUG